GAUGAACGCUGGCGGCGUGCCUAAUACAUGCAAGUCGAGCGAACAGACGAGGAGCUUGCUCCUCUGACGUUAGCGGCGGACGGGUGAGUAACACGUGGAUAACCUACCUAUAAGACUGGGAUAACUUCGGGAAACCGGAGCUAAUACCGUAUAAUAUAUUGAACCGCAUGGUUCAAUAGUGAAAGACGGUUUUGCUGUCACUUAUAGAUGGAUCCGCGCCGCAUUAGCUAGUUGGUAAGGUAACGGCUUACCAAGGCAACGAUGCGUAGCCGACCUGAGAGGGUGAUAGGCCACACUGGAACUGGGACACGGUCAAGACUACUACGGGAGGCAGCAGUAGGGAAUCUUCCGCAAUGGGCGAAAGCCUGACGGAGCAACGCCGCGUGAGUGAUGAAGGUCUUCGGAUCGUAAAACUCUGUUAUUAGGGAAGAACAAAUGUGUAAGUAACUAUGCACGUAUUGACGGUACCUAAUCAGAAAGCCACGGCUAACUACGUG
rnacentral:rRNA from 1 species